UUUGUUUAAUUAGUUAAAACUUUAUUUUUUAAAGUUUUUUAUAAUGAUCAAUUAUAAGGAUUCAAUUUCAGUAUCAAUACAAUAAUGAGAUUCUUUGUUUUCCGCAGAACAUUGAUUAAAAAUAGCUAUUCUAUCUAACUUGGAAUUAAAGGUGUACAAAGUGGUGACAAUUUAGGAAGAAAUAUUUUAUUUUUAAAUGAACUCUAUUGAUCAAUUACCUUGUAAGUAGUACAUGGAAGUUGAAAACAUAGUUCCAGCAAAGCGAUUUUAGAUAACUAAAAUUAAUAAUUUAAAGACAACAUAACAAGACAGAAGAAACCAUUAUAUUAUUCAACUUUAAAAAAAAAAGAUUACUUUUUUUAAACAUGGUAUGGUCAAAAUAAUAAAAUCAUUUACAUGUCUCCAGUUAUCAUUUAAAAUGAGUGAUGGUAAAAAUACUUUUCAUCUAUUCCUCUACUUCUCAAGUGUACACUAGUUCAGCCCGUUUAAACUAAUAAAACGAAAAAAUGUAUAGAAAAAUAAUCUGUACAUACAGUAUGCUUAGGAAUAAUUAAGACAUAAAAGUAUCCUCAGAAAAUGAGUAAUAGUACGAAAUAGCUAUAGCUCCAGAUCUUACAUUUUCAUCAUAGCAAAGUUGCUGUCAAAUAAUAGAAGAGAUUCAAAUUUUCAGAAACACGAUUUACUUUUAUUUAUAGCCCAUACAUAUUCUUAUGCCGUUAUGUUUAAUUUUAAAGGUAAUUUUUGUGAACUGAAUUUAAUAC